GUUGAAUAGUCUUUUAUUACACAGUACUAUUUGGUCAUUGAUAACUUUUUGCACCGUGUGGUAGCCUUGUGGAGAUAGUAAUUGUCUUCUAUUGUUAAAAGUUGUGACAUAUGGUUUCUGUGUUUCAGGAUUAACGUCUGUUUCUAUGCCACGGGAGGAGUAGUCGUUUUUGAUUAAAUUCUCUGCAAAUGUGGAAAGUGUGCUGUCACUUUUCAGUGAUUAUAAAUGCUCGGAGUAUCAAAUUCGGAUAUUUCUGCAUAUUUGUCCAAUGUAUCUUAUUGAGAAAUUUCUGCAUGUCUGCCCAAUGUAUACUGAAUUACAGUAUUUGCAGAAAUGAAAUGGAGCAAAGAGGCAUUAAGCAACUUAAAUCUGGCAUACAGCAAGGAAAAGUGUAUGUAUGACCCGCUGUAUCAGAAUAAGCAUGCCUUAAAGAGAAAUUGGUAGUGACAGGGGAGAAUGUUUGUUCAGUUUGGUCCAGAGCGACAGACGAGAACUGCAAAACUCUGAGUAGCACAUAUACAUAGUGCAAACUUGGAAAAAUAACAUAAGUGCACCUUUAAGUACUGGUCCUUUAAAGUGCUGCCCUAAUCGGAAGAUUUACUGUCAAUGCCAUGGCAAUAGCUCCAAAAACAAAUGGGUCCUCCUUGUGCAAAGUGCUGUAUAAGUACAUGUACCUGUUUAACCAAGAGUCAUGAUAUAAAACUAACUGUUGGGUCUGUAAUUCAGAACAGUGGUAAUGUACCUAAGAGAAUAACAGUUA